GCCCGCCUAGCUCAAUCGGCCAGAGCGUCAGACUUUUAUGGCGGGCUGUUUCUGCCAGAUAUCUGAAGGCUGCGAGUUCGACCCUCGCGGUGGGCU